AUUGAACGCUGGCGGCAGGCCUAACACAUGCAAGUCGAGCGGAUGAAGGGAGCUUGCUCCUGGAUUCAGCGGCGGACGGGCGAGUAAUGCCUAGGAAUCUGCCUGGUAGUGGGGGAUAACGUCCGGAAACGGGCGCUAAUCCAGUAUACGUCAUGAGGGAGAAAGUGGGGGUUCUUCGGACCUCACGCUAUCAGCUGAGACUAGGUCGGAUUAGCUAGUUGGUGGGGUAAAGGCCUACCAAGGCGACGAUCCGUAACUGGUCUGAGAGGAUGAUCAGUCACACUGGAACUGAGACACGGUCCAGACUCCUACGGGAGGCAGCAGUGGGGAAUAUUGGACAAUGGGCGAAAGCCUGAUCCAGCCAUGCCGCGUGUGUGAAGAAGGUCUUCGGAUUGUAAAGCACUGUAAGUUGGGAGGAAGGGCAGUAAGUUAAUACCUGGCUGUUUUGACGGUACCAACAGAAUAAGCACCGGCUAACUACGUG
rnacentral:rRNA from 1 species